GGAAUAGAACACUCCUAAAUUUUCUUGUUUCCUGCGGAGGAUCCACCAUGUUCUUGAAGUCUAUUGAUGCUUCCUCACAUGUGAAAAAUGCCACAUACUUAUGUGAGGCUAUUGAGGAAGUCAUACAAGAGGUGGGGGAAGAAAAUGUGGUGCAGGUGGUGACAGAUAAUGCAGCAAGUUAUGUUGCUGCAGGUAAACUUUUGAUGGAGAGC